rnacentral:lncRNA from 1 species
AAAACAAUUACAAUAAAUUACCAGCAGAUAAUAGCUUUUAAAGAGUACUAUGAAAUGGCAAGCUUGUUAACAUCUCAUAUGUAUUUCCUUUCUAUAGGUGAUUUUCUUCCACCCCCACCUCCACCCUUAGAUGACCCUGGUACCCUUCCACCUGGCUCUGGACACUUCCCUCCUCCUCCACCUCUGGAUGAAGGCGCUUUCAAAGUACAGCAGGGAAAUCCUGGAGGCAAGACCCUGGAGGAAAGGCGGUCCAGUCUGGAUGCCGAAAUUGAUUCCUUGACCAGUAUCCUGGCUGAUCUGGAGUGCAGCUCUCCCUACAAGCCUCGGCCCCCACAGUGAAGUUUGCCUUGAAGAUAAUGGACAUUCUUUUCUACGGUUUAGACAUAAAGAAGCCAGCCGAGAGUUGAAAUUAUUUGUUCACAUAGCAUACUUGGUGCUAUGCUGCCUGGAUUUCAAGAAGAUCACUUUUCCUUAGCUAAGCCCUGCCAGAACUGAAAGAUAAUGCCCACUCUAACUUCCGGCUCAUCAGCUCUUUAAUAAACCUGCAUUUUCUCACCUGAAGACGAAGUUCAACUUUGCAUCAUUUCCUUCAGUUUCUGUUCUUCUCUAAUUCAAACUUUGUUUUUCUGAGUUCUUAAUCAGUACAUUCAGCCAUGUGGGCCUUGAGUUAAAGACUGCUCUUGUGCUUGGCGAGUACAAACUUGUUUCUUGUCAUUCUGCCUAAGUCACAUCACAACUACUUAAGUAACAUUAGUGUUCUAUUGCUCAAAAUAAAUAAUCUGGAGAUGAUUCAAAAUGCAUAGGGGAAUGUACAGGUUUAAUGCAAGCACUGUGUCACUUCACAUAAGAUCUUGGUAACUGGGAGGCUCCCAGGUAAAUUUCCUAUGCUAGUGAGGAAUGGCUCCAUGUAGAUAUUUGCUGUUAACUUUGCAGAGCUUGGUGUAAAACUUCCAUCACGAUCCGUAGCCAAAGUCCACGGAGGCUUGCUUCUCUGAGGCACUGUUGUGCUACACAGACACUAUAAAAGGUAUAUUUGUUUAAUAGGCAGCCUUUAUCUCUCUUUCAUGACAGUCCAUCCCAUAGUUAUUAAUUCAGUGCUUUAUGUCAACAUAUGUGCUUUCACUACUCAAAAAUAUAAUGAAACACUGUUGUGUAGAAAGAGCACAGAGCUAAAAUACAGGCAAGUUUUUUUAGCCACCCCCUUGGUCUACUCUUUUGACUUUUG